rnacentral:rRNA from 1 species
CCUACGGGAGGCAGCAGUGAGGAAUAUUGGUCAAUGGACGAGAGUCUGAACCAGCCAAGUAGCGUGAAGGAUGACUGCCCUAUGGGUUGUAAACUUCUUUUAUAUGGGAGUAAAAUGUUCCACGUGUGGGAUUUUGUAUGUACCAUAUGAAUAAGGAUCGGCUAACGCCGUGCGAGCAGCCGCGGUGAUACGGGGGAUCCGAGCGUUAUCCGGGUUUGUUGGGGUUAAAGGGAGCGUAGGUGGAUUGUUAAGGCAGUUGUGAAAGUUUGCGGCUCAACCGUAAAAUUGCAGUUGAAACUGGCAGUCUUGAGUACAGUAGAGGUGGGCGGAAUUCGUGGUGUAGCGGGGAAAUGCUUAGAUAUCACGAAGAACUCCGAUUGCGAAGGCAGCUCACUGGACUGCAACUGACACUGAGGCUCGAAAGUGUGGGUAUCAAACAGGAUUAGAUACCCUUGUAGUC